GACGAACGCUGGCGGCGUGCUUAACACAUGCAAGUCGAACGAAGAACCUUCCUUCGGGAAGGGGACGAGUGGCGAACGGGUGAGUAACACGUGAGCAACCUACCCUUGACUCUGGGAUAACAGUUGGAAACAGCUGCUAAUACCGGAUACGACCCCGACAGGCAUCUGCCGGGGUGGAAAGCUCCGACGGUCAAGGAUGGGCUCGCGGCCUAUCAGCUUGUUGGUGAGGUAACGGCUCACCAAGGCGACGACGGGUAGCCGGCCUGAGAGGGCGACCGGCCACACUGGGACUGAGAUACGGCCCAGACUCCUACGGGAGGCAGCAGUGGGGGAAUAUUGCACAAUGGGCGAAAGCCUGAUGCAGCAACGCCGCGUGCGGGAUGACGG
rnacentral:rRNA from 1 species